AGACGUCUACAUUAGAUACCCGCGUAGUCCCAGCCGUAAACUAUGCGCGUUAGGUGUAUCGGUGACCACGAGUUACCGAGGUGCCGAAGGGAAACCGUGAAACGUGCCGCCUGGGAAGUACGGUCGCAAGGCUGAAACUUAAAGGAAUUGGCGGGGGAGCACCACAACAGGUGGAGCCUGCGGUUUAAUUGGACUCAACGCCGGACAACUCACCGGGAACGACAGCAAUAUGUAGGCCAGGCUGAAGACCUUGCCUGAAUCGCUG
rnacentral:rRNA from 1 species